UACGGGGGGGGCAAGCGUUGUUCGGAAUUACUGGGCGUAAAGGGUUCGUAGGUGGCUUGCUUAGUCAGACGUGAAAACCUGCAGCUUAACUGUGGGCUUGCGGUCGAUACGGGCAUCACUGGAGUUCGGCAGGGGAGACUGGAAUUCCUGGUGUAGCGGUGAAAUGCGCAGAUAUCAGGAGGAACACCGGUGGCGAAGGCGGGUCUCUGGGCCGAUACUGACGCUGAGGAGCGAAAGCGUGGGGAGCGAACAGG
rnacentral:rRNA from 1 species